CGCGACCCCAGGUCAGGCGGGAUCGCUGAGUUUAAGCAUAUCAAU
rnacentral:rRNA from 1 species